AUGAUAUUCUCCAGAUGCAUCCAUUUGCCUAAGAAUUUCAUGAGUUCAUUGUUUUUAAUUGCUGAGUAAUACUCCAAUGUGUAAAUGUUAAUUCACCUACAUUUAUUAUUUAUUUAAUAUAAAUCACAGUAAUAUUGAUUUGAAUGUUAUUUCCCUAAAUUUGCAAUUAUUUAAAUGUUUUGAUUAUCUUUUUUAUAUGAGUUGUCAUGUUUUUAUUUAUGAUAAUCACUUUCCUUUUUUUGUUUUUAUAGGUUUCUACCUUUCUUCUAGGUUCUAACUAUUUCUCCUCCCCAGACAAGAAAGAAAAUAAACGUUCAGCAUAGCAACCUUCACAUUUCUUCCUUUGGCAACAAGUAUGGUUUAAACAACAUGCAAAAGAGAAUUUGGGGAGAAAGUCUUUGACCUCAUUAUUCCUGCCUGGCCCCAAAGACAACUCAACUUCUGUGGGUAAAGCCCAAUUUGUGCCUCCCUUGGUCCCAGACGUGAUUCCAUAAUCCCUGGGAUAAGGUUCGAUUCCACUGUCCUGACCCAGGAACCACUUAGUUUCUGCUUCUGCAUAUCUAACUACCUCUGAGUUCUGCAAACAGGCCUGUUCCCUGGUGACAAGAAGAGCUUUAGUAUCCACUGGGCAUCUUCCCCCACAGGCAAUGAAUCUGCUUCAAUGACUGCUGUGGAUGAAUUUUGUUAAGGAUUAGUUUUGAGAAUCUCAUCCUGUACUAUUGAAAAACCAGAGCAACAAAUGCAAACAGAGUUUAUACUUCAUUAUUUUCUAUUUUAUCUAUGGUGUUUUCUACAUGAUUUUUUUUACUUCUUUGUUGUUUUUUGGUUUGUUUGUUAAUAUAUUGGUUAGAUAAUUGGCUUAAAUGUCCCUUUACUUUUUUUUUGAUUUAUGGUGUAUAUUUUUGUUUUGUGUAACAUUUUAGUUUUUAAUUGGUUAUUUUUCUAAAGUGACUUGCAAUCCUUUACUUUGUUAAUCCAUUGUGUUUUAACCUCUGUCACACAAAGGUAAACCUCGAAGACUGUCCUCAUGUUUCCAUACAAAAACCUAUGCUUUCUCAUUUUUACAUCUAAAUGGCCAUACUGCUAUCAUCCAGAGUCCCAACUCAUAUGCUUUCAACAUCAUGGUAUAGUUUAUAUUGUUUAUUCUCCCCUUCUUUGUGUUAGGUGGAAUAGGAAUGGCCCUCAUAGGCUCACAUCUUUGAUGGUUUGGUUAUUCAGGGGUGCCUUUGCUUGAGAGAAGGAGGAGUAGCUAUCUUGGAGAAGAUAUCGCCUUUUUGGAGUAGAUGUGUUACGGGGGUAACAUUUAGGUUUUCAAGUGCUCAAGUUAAAUCCAACAUCUCUUUCCCCCUCCUGCUUGCUGUUCAGGAUGU
rnacentral:lncRNA from 1 species